rnacentral:lncRNA from 1 species
CCCCUCCGCUCCUAGCGCGCGGGAGUCGGGAUUGUGCUUGCACGACUUCCCCCGGCCCGCGGCCUGUGAGCCCAGGUCCUGGGGUGAACCGAGCGCUCGCUCGUUCGUCAGACCGUAGCGCUCCAGCGGCUGUCCUUACUGUGUAGUAGCCAAAGCUGAGGGUGAUGACUGUGAACCAGAACAGACUGCCUCGCUGAAAAGUCACUUGGAACUCUUCUGUGGCAUCUGAAGCAGAUGGACGAAGCCAAGAGGGCCGAGAGUAUCUCAGCACCUAGAAAUGGACAAGGCUGGUUAUUAGAACAAAGAUUUCGCAGGUGAUUUGAUAUUUCAUGAAAUUCAGAAAUAAUUUGGAGCUUUUCAAACCUGGGAUAUGGAAGAAACUGACACUCCUGUUCUCUGGGAAGAGGCAAGAAUCUGCAUCAAAGAGCCCUGGAAGCAAUCAUGGCUCAACUGUGAUGCCUUUAGAACAUGAAGUCCUCCAAGAAGAUGCCAUAGGAAUGGCCUCCAUCCCAGGGCCUGGAGAGCAGCCAGAGACAAGAAGAGUAGCCCAGGAGGGCACUGGCAGUCAGUGCUACACUGUGGCCUGUCAGUCUCAGAGCCAGGAUUUAAUCACUGGAUCUCCCAUUAACCAGUCAUAAUGAAGUAAGAACAAGAAGAUGGGGAAGAGGAAGUGUAAAACCGUGGCUUAAAUUUGCCAAGGAUAAGCUGAGUGUACUUCAGCAGUCAUUUGCACAGAAUCCUUAUCCUAAUUUUACAACCAGGGAAAAACUGGCUGGACAGUCUCUUGUCCUGUGUUUGUAAUUGAUAACUGGUUUCAAAAUAAAAGCCAGACCACCACUUAGAGAGAGACACAGAAUGUUCACUGCCAGGGAACUGCAUGAUUCCUCUGCCAAAGGCCACCCAUUUACAAGAAUCCAGGAAAACCAGGUGGAAUCUCCCAAUGAUGACCCUGAGCAGAACUUCUUGUACCCAGGAAGUUCUACUGGGUGGAGCUGGCCACUCUUCCGUGGAGACACAGGGGACUCCCAAUUAACAUGAUGGCUCAAAUAACUGUAGCCUUAUGGAUUAAAAGGAAACUAAGCUGUGAUUUGGAGUAUCCAGGUGAUACAGAAAAUGGCCCUUGUCGAUGUAGAUCAGCAUUAUUUCCUUAUCCUUCUGCAUCUCCUCCUCAGUAUUCUGAAAGGGACAAGCCUGAGAUGGGGGAAAGCCAGCAUGCAAGGCCCUCCCCUUUGUGCUGUGUUCAUGGUGUGCACGGAGAGAGGCAGCAGCAGGAGGAACAGAAAGGUUAUUUUCUUUACUGACUCUUUCAAGGACAUCAGCAGAAUGGUUGGGAAUGUCAUCAUGAGCAGCCUCAGCCUCAGAAUUACCAGGAGAAGCUGGUCUUCCAGGAUCAGGUUCUAAUGUAUAUGAGUCACAGGAUUUAGGGAAGCAGGCACUUUCCCUUCAGUCCCAGCAGCAUGGUUGAUGUUCCCAAGUAAUGGAGAGUCCCUGUGCUCUC